rnacentral:piRNA from 1 species
UGCAAACAUUCGGUUGACAAAUUAAUAGGAGC